rnacentral:rRNA from 1 species
GACGAACGCUGGCGGCGUGCUUAACACAUGCAAGUCGAACGGAAAGGCCCUGCUUUUGUGGGGUGCUCGAGUGGCGAACGGGUGAGUAACACGUGAGUAACCUGCCCUUGACUUUGGGAUAACUUCAGGAAACUGGGGCUAAUACCGGAUAGGAGCUCCUGCUGCAUGGUGGGGGUUGGAAAGUUUCGGCGGUUGGGGAUGGACUCGCGGCUUAUCAGCUUGUUGGUGGGGUAGUGGCUUACCAAGCCUUUGACGGGUAGCCGGCCUGAGAGGGUGGCCGGCCACAUUGGGACUGAGAUACGGCCCAGACUCCUACGGGAGGCAGCAGUGGGGAGUAUUGCACAAUGGGCGGAAGCCUGAUGCAGCAACGCCGCGUGCGGGAUGACGGCCUUCGGGUUGUAAACCGCUUUCGCCUGUGACGAAGCGUGAGUGACGGUAAUGGGUAAAGAAGCACCGGCUAACUACGUG